UACGGAAGGCAGCAGUGGGGAAUAUUGCACAAUGGGCGCAAGCCUGAUGCAGCCAUGCCGCGUGUAUGAAGAAGGCCUUCGGGUUGUAAAGUACUUUCAGUCGUGAGGAAGGUGUUAAGGUUAAUAACCUUAGCAAUUGACGUUAGCGACAGAAGAAGCACCGGCUAACUCCGUGCCAGCAGCCGCGGUAAUACGGAGGGUGCGAGCGUUAAUCGGAAUUACUGGGCGUAAAGGGCACGCAGGCGGUUAAUUAAGUUGGAUGUGAAAUCCCCGGGCUUAACCUGGGAAUGGCAUUCAAGACUGGUUAGCUAGAGUCUUGUAGAGGGGGUUAGAAUUCCAUGUGUAGCGGUGAAAUGCGUAGAGAUGUGGAGGAAUACCGGUGGCGAAGGCGGCCCCUGGACAAAGGACUGACGCUCAUGUGCGAAAGCGUGGGGAGCAAAC
rnacentral:rRNA from 1 species